CGCUCAGGNGUUCAGUCGGUAGAACGGCGGACUGUUAAUCCGUAUGUCACUGGUUCGAGUCCAGUCAGAGGAGCCA
rnacentral:tRNA from 1 species